rnacentral:rRNA from 1 species
GUCUACAACCAGGCCACACUGAACGUGCCGGAUCUUGUCUGAUCUCGGAAGCAAAGCAGGGUUGGGCCGGCUUAGUACUUAUAUAGGAGACCACUUAGGAAUACCAGGUGCUGCAGGCA